rnacentral:lncRNA from 1 species
GGUUGUAGCUUGUGUUACUGUCACAGUAGUGCUAACGGCCUCUGCAGUCUUCUGUUUAGCUUGCUCCAAGCGCUCUCUGGCCUCCACUAGUUCUGCUGAUUGCAUUUUUGUGAUGGCUCUCAUCAGUUUGCUUUGCACAGCAUGCAUUCGUGCCGCAGUGCCAUUAACAUGACGGCUGGUGUCUGCAAUGGUUAAAUCAUUACUAUAAGCUGCUGUCUGUUGUAGCUCCAUGGCUCGUCUGAGCAGUUCUUCACUUUUACCUCUGUGGUAGAUGAUCUGAGUAUCAAUUCCAACUGCAGCAUCAUUGACCCGAUUUGUUGUGUUCAGUGCCAGCAAAGCAGCUUUAUUAGCUUCUUCAAUAUAACCGGCAAUAUUUUCAUAUACAUUUGAAGCAUUUAUUGCCCUUUGUACCAAUCCAUUUGUAUCAACACCAUGUAAAUUCCGGUCCAACUCAUCAGCAAGUCUUCUUAGGUUAUGUGCAUGCUGCAUAGCCUUUUCUUCCAGCUCAUCAUCAAACAGAGACAGAUUGGCUAUUUUUUCUUGCAAUUCCUUUUUUGCUCCAUCUAUUUCUGCGUAGAACCCUGACACAUUCUUUAUUACCUCACUUAACUCUGAGCUGAUCUUUUGUGGUUCUGCCAGAAUAGCUGUGGCACUUAGCACAAUACUGUUCACUUCAUCUGCUUGCUCUUUUAAUUUCUCAUGUUGUUUCUCAUGCUCUUGAAGAUUGGCUGUGUUUUCCUUAUUUAUUGCCUCUGUUUGUAUAACAUAGUCAAGGGCCUGGCCUAAUGCCUCCUCCAGGUCUGACAGCUUCAUAUUGUGUUCACUGAGCUGCUCCACCACAUCAGAAAACAGAGAUCUGGUGUCAUUGUACCUCUCAUGAAACUCUUCAACUCGCUGUAACAAGUCCUCUGCAGCAUGUUCCUCCUCAUCUGCAAGUUGCCUCUCAUUCGUGAAAGGCUUACGGCGUUUGAUUUCCUUCAGCAUCUCCUCGGCCACACUCAGCUUCUGGGCAAUUUCUUCAGGGCUUAGCUCUUGUUGAAUCGCAUAGUAUUUCAUCUUGCUGCUGAUUUCUUGAAUAUUAUCCCUCAUAUUACUAAGCUUCUGCACGAGCUGAGUAGCACGGUUGUUGGUCUCCAUGGUUUCC